UCAGUUGGAGAGAUCCGUAGUUUUCUUGGACUCGCAGGAUAUUAUCGGAGAUUCAUUGAGAUUUUUUCUAAGAUUGCAAAGCCCAUGACAGAGUUGUUGAAGAAGGACACCAAGUUCAAAUGGACUGAGGAAUGUGAGGUCAGUUUUCAGGAGUUGAAGAAACGUUUAGUUACAGCUCCAGUGCCGAUUCUUCCGGAUAUACGCAAGGAUUUCCAAGUGUAUUGCGACGCUUCUCGCUUGGGACUUGGAGGUGUACUUAUGCAAGACGGAAGAGUGGUUUCAUAUGCCUCACAUCAGCUUCGACCUCAUGAGUUGAAUUAUGCCACGCAUGAUUUGGAGUUAGCAGCCGUAGUGCACGCGCUCAAGACCUGG
rnacentral:rRNA from 1 species